rnacentral:rRNA from 1 species
AGAGUUUGAUCCUGGCUCAGAUUGAACGCUGGCGGCAUGCCUUACACAUGCAAGUCGAACGGCAGCAUGGAGAGCUUGCUCUCUGAUGGCGAGUGGCGAACGGGUGAGUAAUACAUCGGAACGUGUCCGUUUGUGGGGGACAACCGUCCGAAAGGAUGGCUAAUACCGCAUAAGACCUGAGGGUGAAAGCCGGGGACCGCAAGGCCCGGCGCAGACGGAGCGGCCGAUGAUUGAUUAGCUAGUUGGGGAGGUAAAGGCUCACCAAGGCGACGAUCAAUAGCUGGUCUGAGAGGACGACCAGCCACACUGGAACUGAGACACGGUCCAGACUCCUACGGGAGGCAGCAGUGGGGAAUUUUGGACAAUGGGGGCAACCCUGAUCCAGCCAUGCCGCGUGCGGGAAGAAGGCCUUCGGGUUGUAAACCGCUUUUGUCAGGGACGAAAAGCUCCGGAGUAAUAUGCCGGAGUGCUGACGGUACCUGAAGAAUAAGCACCGGCUAACUACGUGCCAGCAGCCGCGGUAAUACGUAGGGUGCAAGCGUUAAUCGGAAUUACUGGGCGUAAAGCGUGCGCAGGCGGUUGGGUAAGACAGAUGUGAAAUCCCCGGGCUUAACCUGGGAACUGCAUUUGUGACUGUCCGACUGGAGUACGUCAGAGGGGGGUGGAAUUCCACGUGUAGCAGUGAAAUGCGUAGAUAUGUGGAAGAACACCGAUGGCGAAGGCAGCCCCCUGGGACGCAACUGACGCUCAUGCACGAAAGCGUGGGGAGCAAACAGGAUUAGAUACCCUGGUAGUCCACGCCCUAAACGAUGUCUGCUGGUUGUUGGGAAUUUAAUUCUCAGUAACGAAGCCAACGCGUGAAGCAGACCGCCUGGGGAGUACGGUCGCAAGAUUAAAACUCAAAGGAAUUGACGGGGACCCGCACAAGCGGUGGAUGAUGUGGAUUAAUUCGAUGCAACGCGAAAAACCUUACCCAGCCUUGACAUGUCAGGAAUGCCUCGGAGAUGAGGCGGUGCCCGCAAGGGAACCUGAGCACAGGUGCUGCAUGGCUGUCGUCAGCUCGUGUCGUGAGAUGUUGGGUUAAGUCCCGCAACGAGCGCAACC